AUUUUAUUUAUCAUUCUUUAAAUCAAAUACCUUUUGAAACAAGUUAUCCCAAAAAUUUGUAUCAAGAGUACCAAUUUGAUUCAUAGCUUUCAUCAAUAGAAAAUGGAAGCACACUCUCUAAUUAGUUCCCGAUAAAUGUGUGAAUGUUUAAGGGAGAACACUAUGACAAAUGGUUCUUAGCAUUGGAAACCAAUGCACCAAAAGCGCAGAAGAUAGCUCAUCAUGAAUUGAACAAGAAAUAUGGGAAUGAAUUAUUCUUAAUCCAUCAAUGCGUGGAUUCAAAC
rnacentral:lncRNA from 1 species